rnacentral:lncRNA from 1 species
AGCCCAGACCUAAAAGAGAAGUCGGAGGGACUGGGGCAAAAGGAAAAGGGGAGAGGGUUCUGGGUAGAGGAGUGCCCACCCGUAAAGACCAGAAUGCAAAGAGCAUGCAUAUGUUGCUUCCUACUAUGUGUCAGGCCCCAUGUGAAGUAUUGGGGUGCAGAGCUAAAUAAGCUACAGUCCAGCCCUCAGGGAGCAUACAGGCUGAGUGGAGGAGACCACCAAGGACAGGAGCCCACCCCAGAAAUGGUUCUUGGCACCUCCUCCAGGAAUCUCCCAUUGCUGAUCUCACUGCCCAGUUAUUCCAUCUCCCAGACCAUCCAGAAUCCUGAUGUCCAACCACACAAGCAUUCUUCAUCCGGCACAUUUUCCAACACCUGUUUUUGACAGACCUCCAGAAUUAGUACUUACGUAACAGUUUUCAGACCACAUGUGGAACAGCAAUGCCCUCCAGCCCUGGCAAGAAGGCUCUGCACGUGGUCAUCACUGGAUAGGCUUUAUGGAAUCCUUUAGAAACUCCAGUGCUCCUCCAGAUGUCUGAAGAAUGUACAGAGGAGUAUAGGAGGAGUCUUUGUGGAGGCUCUGUUAGAAUGAAGAGGCCCCUCUGUGAUGAUGUUUGCAAGAUUUGUGUGAGGACACCAGUUCUACUGUCUAAAUAGCUUCAUGAACCUGAACUUCUUAUCUCAAUGUGGCCUUGACCUGAAGCUAGACCAAAGUUCUUAAACUCUUUUGUGCCAAUAGACCUAGUUGAUAGUUUAGGGAGGCCUGUGGAUCUUUCUGCAGAAUGUUUUAAUGUCAGUGUUUUAAAUGCAGAAAAGAAAAACCACGGGAUUUCAAAAGAAAUCAGUUAUUCUCAAAUACAAUUAAUAAAAUGUGUGGUUCACAAAUGUUGCUUUGCUAACACAUUAAAAUAACAAUAUCUGUUUGUAUUUGGUUGUUGAGUAGCAUGGAGCCUCCAUGUGAAAGUUAAACAACACUCUACUAGACAGCCAAUGGAUCACUGAAAAAAAUCAAAGAGGAAAUCAAAAAAUACUUGGAGACAAAUUAAAAUAAAAACACAAUUCAAAAUCUAUAGGAUGCAACAAAAGUUGUUCUAGGAGGGAAGUUUAUAGUGAUACAAGCCUACGUCAAAAAGCAAGAAAAAUCUCAACCUAAUCUUACAUCUAAAGGAGCUAGAAGAAGGAAAAACAAAAUCCAGAGUUAGUAGAAGAAAUAAUAAACCUCAGAGUAAGAAUAAAUGAAAUAGAGACAGAAGAGAAAGAAAAUAUCAAUGAAACUAAGAGCUGGUUCUUUGAAAAGAUAAAAUUGAUAAGCCUUUAGCCAGACUUAUCAAGAAAAAAAGAGGGACUAAAUCAUAUCAGAAAUGUAAAAAGAAAAGUUACAACCAGCACCACAGAAAUACAAAAGAUCAUGAGACUACUACAAGCAACUCUAUCCCAAUAAAAGGGGCAACCUUGAAGAAAUGCACAAAUUCCUAGAAAUGUACAAUCUACAAAUACUGAACUAGGAAGAAAUGGAAAUUAUGAACAGACCAGUUACAAGUAAUGAAACAAUCUGUAAUCUUAAAAACUCCCAAUAAACAAAGGUCCAGGACCUGAUAGCUUCAUAGGUGAAUUGUACCAAACAUUUAAAGAAGGGUUAACACCUCUCCUUCUCAAAUUAUUCAAAAAAAAUUGCAGAGAGGAAACACUUCUGAAAUUAUUCUAUGAUGCCAGCAUUACCCUAUCACUGAUGAACAUAGAUGCAAAACUCCUCAACAAAAUAUUAACUGAAUUCAACAAUAUAUCAAAAGGAUUAUAUACCAUGAUCAAGUGGGAUUUAUCAUAGACAUGCACGGAUUUUUCAAUAUCUUUAAUCAAUUCAAUAUGAUAUACACAUUAAACUGAAGACUAAAAAAAUUAAUAGAUGCAGAAAAAGCUUUUGACGAAAUUCAACAUGUUUAGAAUAAAAACCCUCCAGAAAGUGGACAUAGAGGGAACCUACCUGAAUGUAAUGAAGGCCAUAUAUGACAAGGCCACAGCUAAAUCAUACUCAACAGUGAAAAGCUGAAAGCAUUUCCUCUAAGAUCAAGAAAAAGAAAAGGAUGCCCAAUUUCACCACUUUUAUUUAAAAUAGUGUUGGAAGUCCUAGCCACAGCACUCAGGGAAAAGAAAAAAAAUGAAUCUAAGGUGGAAGAAAUAAAACUGUCACUGUAGAUGAUAUGAUACUGUACGUAGAAAAUCCUGAAGAUGCCACCAAAAAACUAAUAAUUAUCACUGAAUUUGAUAAAGUUCCAAGAUACAAAAUUAAUAUUUGGAAAUCUAUUGGAUUUCUGUAGUCUAACAAUGAGCUAUCAGAGAAGUUAAGGCAAUGAUCACAUUCACAAUUGCAUCAAAAAGAAAUACCUAGGAAUAAAUCUACCUAAGGAGGUAAAAUACUCAGAAACUUAUAAGACACUGAUGAAAGAAAUUGAAGAUGACACAAACAGAUGGAAAGAUAUACCAGUCUCAUGGAUUAGAAGAAUUAAUAUUGUUAAAAUGACCAUACUACAGAUUCGAUACAAUCUCUAUAAAAAUGUCAAGGGUAUUUUUAACAAAACUAGAAAAAUAAUAUUGAAAUUUGUGUAUAAACUUAAAGGACCCUGAAUAAUCAAAACAACCUUGAGAAAAAGAACAGAGCUGGAGGAAUCACAAUCCCUGAUUUUAUACUAUACAGUUAUAAAAAGCUGCAGUAAUCAAAACAGUAUAUUCCUAGUACAAAAGCAGACAUAUAGAUCAAUGGAACAGAAUAGAGCACCCAGAAAUAAACCCACAAACUUAUGGUCAAUUAAAUUAUGACAAAGGAGGCAAAAAUAUGCAAUGGAGAAAAGACAGUCUUUUCAAUAAAUGGGGCUGAGAAAACUAGACAGCCACACUUAAAAGAAUGAAAUUAGAACUUUCUCCACACCAUAUAAAAAUAAACUCAAAAUGGAUUAAA